AAAUUAACUUCAUCCGAUCCCUAGUCGGCAUAGUUUAUGGUUAAGACUACGACGGUAUCUGAUCGUCUUCGAUCCCCUAACUUUCGUUCUUGAUUAAUGAAAACAUCCUUGGCAAAUGCUUUCGCAGUAGUUAGUCUUCAAUAAAUCCAAGAAUUUCACCUCUGACAAUUGAAUACUAAUGCCCCCAACUAUCCCUAUUAAUCAUUACGUCGAUCCUAGAAACCAACAAAAUAGAAUCGAUCGUCCUAUUUCGUUAUUCCAUGCUAAUGUAUUCAAGCGUAAGCCUGCUUUAAGCACUCUAAUUUUUUCAAAGUAACAGUCCUGUUUCCCCGCAACACCAAAUUAAUGGCAUCACGGUUCUUCAAGAGGGAGGGACCAGUGAGACCAGUUCAUACCAGUGGCACGACCGACCUACUGGCCCCGAAAUUCAACUACGAGCUUUUUAACUGCAACAACUUUAAUAUACGCUAUUGGAGCUGGAAUUAC
rnacentral:rRNA from 1 species